rnacentral:rRNA from 1 species
AGUGAACGCUGGCGGUAGGCCUAACACAUGCAAGUCGAACGGCAGCACAGUAAGAGCUUGCUCUUACGGGUGGCGAGUGGCGGACGGGUGAGGAAUACAUCGGAAUCUACUUUUUCGUGGGGGAUAACGUAGGGAAACUUACGCUAAUACCGCAUACGACCUACGGGUGAAAGCAGGGGAUCUUCGGACCUUGCGCGAUUGAAUGAGCCGAUGUCGGAUUAGCUCGUUGGCGGGGUAAAGGCCCACCAAGGCGACGAUCCGUAGCUGGUCUGAGAGCAUGAUCAGCCACACUGGAACUGAGACACGGUCCAGACUCCUACGGGAGGCAGCAGUGGGGAAUAUUGGACAAUGGGCGCAAGCCUGAUCCAGCCAUACCGCGUGGGUGAAGAAGGCCUUCGGGUUGUAAAGCCCGUUAGUUGGGAAAGAAAAGCAGCAGGUGAAUACCCCGCUGUUCUGACGGUACCCAAAGAAUAAGCACCGGCUAACUUCGUG